GCUUAACGCGAAGAACCUUACCAAGGCUUGACAUAUACGGUCUAUCCCUAGAGAUAGGGAGUGCUUCGGCGCCGUAUACAGGUGGUGCAUGGUUGUCGUCAGCUCGUGUCGUGAGAUGUUGGGUUAAGUCCCGCAACGAGCGCAACCCUCGUUCUAUGUUGCCAGCACGUAAUGGUGGGGACUCAUAGAAGACUGCCGGGGUCAACUCGGAGGAAGGUGGGGAUGAGGUCAAAUCAUCAUGCCCCUUAUGUCUUGGGCUUCACGCAUGCUACAAUGGCCGGUACAAAGGGCUGCAAUACCGUAAGGUGGAGCGAAUCCCAAAAAGCCGGUCUCAGUUCGGAUUGAGGUCUGCAACUCGACCUCAUGAAGUCGGAGUCGCUAGUAGUCGCAGAUCAGCAACGCUGCGGUGAAUACGUUCCCGGGUCUUGUACACACCG
rnacentral:rRNA from 1 species